CUCAAAUAACAUAUAAAGCAAAUUUUUUUUUAAAAGUUUUUAGUGUAGGUUUUUAAUAAAUAAAAAUCAUAUAUUUAAUUUUUCAUUGAUUAAGGAAUAGUGCUAGUGACUACUGAGGAAAAGAGGAACAGGUGUGACCUAGGAGCUAAUUAAAAAAGCUUAAUUUACAGAACUACUGGCUGCAUAAGAUUCAACUGGCUAAGGCAAACUUCACAUCUAAAUAAUUUCUAACAAUCAAUAUACAAAAAAAAAAAAGAUUAGUUCAAGAAAUUUGGAAGACAAAGACACUAUUAUUAGGUGUUUUAUAUAAUUGUACAUACGUUAUUUGUAUUAUUUAUGUUUAAUAUGUAUAUAUUUUCUUAGAAAAUAAUAUUCACUUAGUCUUAUUGUAUUAUCAUUUUUGUAAAAAACUUAUUUUUUAUUGUUUCAUUUUAUAAAUGCUAAAUAAGGCAAUAUUCAUUGUUUAUUAUUUCAAAACAUUUUAAAUAAGACUUCACAAGUGAUAUCAUUGUACAUAUGUAACAUAAAUUAAAUGCCAACUGUAUUCAUUGUGUGAUAUGCCUAUUAAAAGUAGCUUUUAUUAA